AUUGAACGCUGGCGGCAUGCUUUACACAUGCAAGUCGAACGGCAGCGCGGGCUUCGGCCUGGCGGCGAGUGGCGGACGGGUGAGUAAUACAUCGGAACGUGCCCAGUAGUGGGGGAUAGCUCGGCGAAAGCCGGAUUAAUACCGCAUACGACCUGAGGGUGAAAGCGGGGGAUCUUCGGACCUCGCGCUAUUGGAGCGGCCGAUGGCGGAUUAGCUAGUUGGUGGGGUAAAGGCCUACCAAGGCGACGAUCUGUAGCUGGUCUGAGAGGACGACCAGCCACACUGGAACUGAGACACGGCCCAGACUCCUACGGGAGGCAGCAGUGGGGAAUUUUGGACAAUGGGCGAAAGCCUGAUCCAGCAAUGCCGCGUGUGUGAUGAAGGCCUUCGGGUUGUAAAGCACUUUUAGCGGGAACGAAAAGGACUGUGCCAAUACCACGGUUCGAUGACGGUACCCGCAGAAUAAGCACCGGCUAACUACGUG
rnacentral:rRNA from 1 species